rnacentral:rRNA from 1 species
CCCUUAGAUGUUCUGGGCUGCACGCGCGCUACACUGACCAGUGCAACAAGCAUCCGUCCUUGGCCGACAGGCCCGGGCAAUCUUUGAACGCUGGUCGUGAUGGGGAUAGACUUUUGCAAUUUUUGGUCUUCAACGAGGAAUUCCUAGUAAACGCAAGUCAUCAACUUGCAUUGAUUACGUCCCUGCCCUUUGUACACACCGCCCGUCGCACCUACCGAUUGAAUGGUCCGGUGAAGCCUCCGGAUUGGCGCGCACCUCGGUGCCGCCGAGAAGUUGGCUAAACCUUACCAUUUAGAGGAAGGUGAAGUCGUAACA